UACAGAGGGUGCAAGCGUUAAUCGGAAUUACUGGGCGUAAAGCGUGCGUAGUCGGUUAUCUAAGUCGGAUGUGAAAUCCCCGGGCUCAACCUCGGGAAUUGCAUUCGAUACUGGAUAGCUAGAGUUCGGCAGAGGGAAGCGGAAUUCGGGUGUAGGCGGUGGAAUGCGUAGAUAUCCGAAGGAACAUCAGUGGCGAAAGCGGCUUCCUGGACCAGGAACUGACGAUCAGGCACGAAAGCGUGGGGAGCAAAC
rnacentral:rRNA from 1 species